CUGAAGGGAGGAGGGACUGAAGGUGGAGGAGGAACUAAAGACGAGGCGGACGGAGGAGAAGAGGGCUGAAGGUGGAGGAGGGACUAAAGACGAGGGAGACGGAGGAGAAGAGGGCUGAAGGUGGAGGAGGGGCU